ACUAUCUUCAGGCAGAGAGCCAAUACGCCUCUGCGAACCUGCCCAGCCUUUGCUCGAGAUCUUUACCGAGCAGCUCAUUCUUUCAUAGUACGAGUAACUAACUACUCUUUCUAUCGAUAAUUAUCUGUGUCACCUCACCAACAAUUGAUCCAGAGUGACUUCUUGAUGAAUGGUAAGUCUGUAGGUGCACCUGGCUCCAAGAGAACCGGUUAUUGUUGCGAAAUUGUACCCUGGAGAUGAUCACGACUAUGUAAUUCUAGCAUCAGCUUGAAAAAUUCAGCACUACUAAUAUCUCCAGUGUCGUCACAAAGAAAAGUGGAAAACACCACCAGAGAUUCUAUCACGCACGACAUACAAUAAGAUCCUUCAAUGUUAGCAGUGGUGAGGAAUAAAGAAAAGAGUCUACAGUGAGAGUGCGCAAAAGUGAAUGAGAAGUUACGAGGAAGGGGUUGCUCAAUAUACUUUUCAGCUUUACAUUUGAGGGAUUCAAGUCGAUAAUAAUGAUAAUGUUGUUCAUUAAUGGGUUUAUUUAUAGUAAAUAAGAUAACUUUCAAAAUUUCAA